UAGGACUCAAGUGGAUUAACCUAAAUAGGUAAAUCCGGAAUCGAGUCAAGGGAUUCCAAGGUUCAUAUAAAAGGUAGAGAAUCAGAGUGAAUCAACUUUUAUUGGGUUUUUCCCUCACUUUACCCUCAUUCGCUAAAAGCCGAUCGACACUCUCCGGUGAAAGUGAAAACGCGAGGUGAGAUUUCCUUUCUUUUGUCACACAUUUACCCGCUUUGCAUGGAAGACAAUCGCAGCCGAUAGCCAUCUGAAAACCAAUGCUGUAUUCAAGGUGCGUUUGAUCCUCUUUAUGUGUUUUCUUCUUCUUGUUCUUCGUCUGUGUUUUACUCAUAUUAUUGAGCUUAGGUUUCUAAUUUUUAUGUUGUUACCUUCAUAUCUAGGGUUUGCCUCUUAGGUUUCUACUUCACUGUGUAAGGUUUACACAUUUGGCUUAGACGAUCGGCUGUCGAUGGUAGUGCAAAAUCCAUCUGAAGUCUGCGGUUUCUUUGCUCUCGAUUUGCCCUAUUCCUCUGAGACGGAAACUUUGCCAUUGAAGUGUCUAACCAAUUCCCUCCAAAACAAAAGGAAGAUUCAAGACUCCACAAGACCAGCAAGUUCUCUGUAGUAGCUAAAGGAGGUUCUGCAUCAAAUAGGUGACAUCGAAUAUGUCCGCUUGUGCUAUUGCAAAGUGUGAUUACUGUGGAAAAGAUUGCUUGGUUUUCACUUCUAAGUCAGGGUCACAUGUGGGAAGGAAAUUUUUUAAAUGUUCAAUGAGUUGCCCCUUCUUCAUGUGGGUUGACCAUCUUAAGAUGUGUGAGUGUGGGAGCGGUCAGUGUAAGGUCAGAACUGCGAAAACAAGUGUAAAUUAUGGUCGAUAUUUUUGGUGUUGUCCACAAUCAACUAGGGUUGAAAACAAAGGUUGUGGAAUGUUCGAAUGAAUUUCAAGUUCAAGCCCAAGUUGUGAUACUUACCAGACUCCACCUAGGUCCCUAUGCUCGGAAACCUCAACUUCAUCAUCUCCUUCCCCUUCAUCAGACUAUAUCAAAUGAUACUUGAACCGUGCAAUAAAAGAAUCGGAGGGUCAUAUGAGAAUGUUGAGAGAUGUUCUUGACGCAGUCAAGAAGCUUGAUUUAAACAAAAAUGUAGGAUGGAUUUUUUUGGAAAAGAAAAGUCCGAAGCCAUUGUAAUGAUAUAGAGUUCAUUAUCCUUUUUUUUUUUUAGAUAGAAAGACUUAAUUAUCAUUUACUAGUACCUGGAUGAACUCAGUACUAUAUUAUACCUUUAUAUGCUUCUUCUUUCAUUUGGUCCUAAGGACCUAUAUUACUUGUAUAAGUCAUUGGAGA